rnacentral:rRNA from 1 species
UAGGGAAUCUUCGGCAAUGGGGGCAACCCUGACCGAGCAACGCCGCGUGAGUGAAGAAGGUUUUCGGAUCGUAAAGCUCUGUUGUAAGUCAAGAACGGGUGUGAGAGUGGAAAGUUCACACUGUGACGGUAGCUUACCAGAAAGGGACGGCUAACUACGUGCCAGCAGCCGCGGUAAUACGUAGGUCCCGAGCGUUGUCCGGAUUUAUUGGGCGUAAAGCGAGCGCAGGCGGUUUGAUAAGUCUGAAGUUAAAGGCUGUGGCUCAACCAUAGUUCGCUUUGGAAACUGUCAAACUUGAGUGCAGAAGGGGAGAGUGGAAUUCCAUGUGUAGCGGUGAAAUGCGUAGAUAUAUGGAGGAACACCGGUGGCGAAAGCGGCUCUCUGGUCUGUAACUGACGCUGAGGCUCGAAAGCGUGGGGAGCGAACAGGAUUAGAUACCCUGGUAGUCCA